rnacentral:rRNA from 1 species
ACAGGGAUUGCCCUAGUAACGGCGAGUGAAGCGGCAGCAGCUCAAAUUUGAAAUCCGGCGCCCCCGGCGCCCGAGUUGUAAUUUGUAGAGGGUGGCUCGGGCCCGUCCCCGUCCAAGUCCCCUGGAACGGGGCGUCGUGGAGGGUGAGAAUCCCGUACGCGGCGGGGCGACGUGCCCGUGUGAGCCCCCUUCGACGAGUCGAGUUGUUUGGGAAUGCAGCUCUAAAUGGGAGGUAAAUUCCUUCUAAAGCUAAAUACCGGCCAGAGACCGAUAGCGCACAAGUAGAGUGAUCGAAAGAUGAAAAGCACUUUGGAAAGAGAGUCAAAAAGCACGUGAAAUUGUUGAAAGGGAAGCGCUCACGAUCAGACUCGGGCGCGGGUGCUCAACCCAACCGGGUGCAUCGCCCGCGCCCGGGCCAGCAUCGGCUCGGGCGGCCGGAUGAAGGCCCCGGGAACGUGGCUCCUCUCGGGGAGUGUUAUAGCCCGGGGCGCAACGCGGCCCGCCCGGACCGAGGACCGCGUUCGCUAGGAUGCUGGCGUAAUGGUCGUUAGCGGCCCGUCUUGAAACACGGACCAAGGAGUCUACCAUCUGUGCGAGUCCUAGGGUGCGAAACCCUCGGGGCGCAAUGAGAGUGAACGGAGGUGGGAACGUUUUCGCGCACCAUCGACCGAUCCAGAAGUCCUCGGACGGAUUUGAGUAAGAGCACCGCUGGUGGGACCCGAAAGAUGGUGAACUAUGCGCGGAUAGGGUGAAGCCAGAGGAAACUCUGGUGGAGGCUCGCAGCGGUUCUGACGUGCAAAUCGAUCGUCAAAUCUACGCAUA